rnacentral:lncRNA from 1 species
AUACGCAGCUGCAGUGUUUGUACUUUUAUACAGUGAAACUCAUUACCACCUUGCUUACUUCCUAGUAGAGAGAUGUGUCUUGUAGUUACACUGAAACACCUGGCUGGGCACAUAGGUGAAGCUGUUGAGUCUGUAAUUGUCAAACUGCUCCCAGGUGCCAAUUAUAAUGUAGAAGAGGCACAAGAAGAUGAAGUGGAUAAGCCUGGCAGUUUGUCAAGCAUUCAUCAGUUGUCAAGCAUUUGUCAGUUGCAGAAUGUAGGUAGGCUGCCAAGGCUUUAUUGUAGCCUGGUUCUAUUGCAGCUUUAUUCUAGCAAGGCUGCUGGAAAAUACAAUAAUCACUGGUCCAAGAAAGAACUCUUAUACUCUAUCUAUAUGAAGAAACAGUAAAAGUCAAUUCAGUAGAAAUCAUGAUUUUUGUGCCUGGUGCUUUCACUUUUUUAUGCCACAAUACCAAGAGGUUAAAAUGAAGUGUCUUUGAUUGGGAAUACCAUCUAUCUGGGAAAAGACAGGGCUGCAACUUCUGAAGACCUUG